AGAGAUCAGCUGGUACUACAAGUACUGAUCAUGAUUAUAGACAGACCACUAAAAGACAAAGGACAGGGGAUGCAAAUUCAAGUAAUACUUCAGGUUCUACUGGAUCGGAAAGAGGACCAGUGGCCCGGACUCGUACUACACUUCCACAUGGAUUCGUGUAGGAAAUGUUCAUCUCUUUCAGGCAAAAGGAAAUAAUUAAACUCUCAGAACUACAUGAUUUAUUGUAAUUUUCAAUAAGAACCAAUGUAUACUGUCAUAGUAUACAUGUACUAUGUAUCGUUGCUGCUGUUGUCGAAUUUAUUUAUUUUCAAAGUUUUAUGUUUGCAUAUGUAUGGAUAUUAGAA